CAAAUUUUAGGGUUCUUGCAAUGCCGAGGACGCCGGUGUCUGCAAUCCUCGGCAAUCUUUUAGGUGGCGUUCGCGGCCGCGCCAAUGUCGCAGCUUGGUCUAUAGCUGCGAUCACCGUGUACUUCUUCUGGGUCAGGCCGGAGCAGCAAAUGAAAGAAGAUCGCGAGGCAAGGGCCGCAUUGUUUAGGGCGGAGCAAUCUCUUAAGAAAGAGGCCGAGUAAGCCGAGUAAAAGAACGAGUUUUAGCAGCAGCGCGUUUUCUCGCAAGUCGGUGAUGAAAAGAGAAGAAAAGGAAGAAUAAAAAUCUAUUUGGCC